rnacentral:piRNA from 1 species
UGCCGAUACUCAGACUGCAGCUGGACC